GACGUAGGGGGCCAGCGUUGUUCGGAAUUACUGGGUGUAAAGGGUUCGUAGGCGGUGCGGCAAGUCGGGAGUGAAAUCUCUGGGCUUAACCCAGAGGCUGCUUCCGAAACUGCUGUGCUUGAGUGUGGGAGAGGCGCGUGGAAUUGCAGGUGUAGCGGUGAAAUGCGUAGAUAUCUGCAGGAACACCCGUGGCGAAAGCGGCGCGCUGGACCACUACUGACGCUGAGGAACGAAAGCUAGGGGAGCGAAUGGG
rnacentral:rRNA from 1 species